UACGUAGGGUGCAAGCGUUAAUCGGAAUUACUGGGCGUAAAGCGUGCGCAGGCGGUUUUGUAAGUUUGUCGUGAAAUCCCCGGGCUCAACCUGGGAAUGGCGAUGAAGACUGCAAGGCUAGAAUCUGGCAGAGGGGGGUAGAAUUCCACGUGUAGCAGUGAAAUGCGUAGAUAUGUGGAGGAAUACCGAUGGCGAAGGCAGCCCCCUGGGAUAACACUGACGCUCAUGACACGAAAGGCGUGGGGAGCAAACGAGG
rnacentral:rRNA from 1 species